UGUACAUGAUGAUAACUUUUAUGCUGUUUCCGAUUCAAAAUGUGGAUACAACCUUGGAGAACUGAACACUCA